AGCUCCAAUAGCGUAUAUUAAAGUUGUUGCGGUAAAAAGCUCGUAGUUGGAUUUCUGUUGAAAUCGGUCGGUCCGCUCUAUGAGCGUGUAUCUGACUUUUGGUUUCGGCAUCUCGUGGGAAAACGUAUCUGCGCUUCACUGCGUGGUGCGGUCUUUCCUACGCUUUUACUUUGAGGAAAUUCGAGUGUUUACGGCAGGCAUGUUCCGCUGUGAAGAUGUUAGCAUGGAAUAAUAAUAUAGGACCUUGGUCCCAUUUUGUUGGUUUCUGGAGCUGAGGUAUGCACGAUUAAUAGGAACAUUUGGGGGCAUUUGUAUCGAGG
rnacentral:rRNA from 1 species